UAACUUAAAUGAAAACUUUCAAAUAUUUCAUCGACUAUUUUAUAUCCAUUUAAAAUUAAAUGAUCAAAAUGUAAAUUUAUUAAUAAUUUAAUAACACAUUAUAAAAUAUAUAACACAUACUAACAAGUAGAUUGCUUGAUAAAUCUGCAACAACUGUGAAUCAAUGACGUAAUGGAAUCAAACACUUCGGAAAACAUCUAUAUUAGAAAAGACAAGAGGCAAAAUUGCCCUAAAAUUGCAUUAUUGUGAAACACAUGCAAAACUUGUUCUAAAUUACAUCAUGAUAGUUGCUACAUUAAGCCUUUUCAAAAGUGGUAGAAAAUUAGAAUUCUUAUCACCACUAUGUGGACGAGAAAACAUUAGUUUUUAAGAAAAAAAUAAAUUGAAGUUAUGAAUGAUAAACUUUAAUGGUAGUAAUUUAUUAUAGAUAAUACGAAUAUAAACAACAAAAUUAAAUUAAAUUUUAAUAAUGAAAAAUGGGUAAACUGCAUCCAAGGUCAUUAAAUUAUUAGUAAGUUUACGUUUUGGUUACUCAAUUUCAAAAAGUUACAAAAUAGUUAUUGAACUAUUCAAAAUUUAUUAUUUAAGUCACUUUGCUAUUAAGCUUCUUCUUUUUUCAAAAAUCCAACUAGCGAGCUCCAAGUGACAAUACAACGAUUUGUAUGGUGGAUCAACAUCCAUCGACGAGUAGAAGAACAUAUCUUAAAUCCAAGUUGAUUUGAUGGUGAGUGUCAGAGAUUGGAGAAAAAAGUUGUUUCGAUUUUGGUUCGUAUAUUCAUAAUGUUCAAAGUUAUUUCAUGAAAAAAAAUUAAAUUGUAAAAAUGAAAGGGAAUGAAAACUUUCAACCGUGGUAAUUUAAUAACUAUUUUGUAAUUUUUUAAAGUUAAAUGAUUAAAAUAUAAAUUUAUUAAUGGUUCAAAAACGUUGGACAUAGUUUACUCGAAUACAAAUAAAAUAUGGAAGGCUGAGCAGAUUCGAGAACAACUGAAACAAGAUUAAGGGUGAGUUUGGAUGGGCGAUGUGUUUACCUGCGGUUAGUAUAAAAACAGCGGUGGCGGUGAAAUUAGAUACUGUAGUGAUACUAUAGCGUGAGACAAAAAGUAAACUAAACGCAUCACACUGCACCCAAUCGCCCAUCUAAACCUGUCAUUUCCAUUGCAAACAACAAGAUCUCAUGUGAAUCUUGAACUGCCACGACAUCUCAUUUUUCUGACAAAAGAAAAUACAAGUUUUAGAAAAGAUGUUUUAUAUCUCUGGGAAAUUUUCAGGUGGGGGAAACUUCAUUACAGUGUUGAAGCUUUUUUGAUGUUUGGAUAUC
rnacentral:lncRNA from 1 species